UACGUAGGUGGCAAGCGUUGUCCGGAUUUACUGGGCGUAAAGGGCAAGCAGGCGGACUGUUAAGUAGGAAGUGAAAGGUUGGAGCUCAACUCCAACAUUGCUUCCUAUACUGGCAGUCUUGAGUCUCGGAGGGGAAAGCGGAACGAUACGUGUAGCGGUGAAAUGCGUUGAUAUGUAUCGGAACACCAAUGGCGAAGGCAGCUUUCUGGACGAGAACUGACGCUCAUUUGCGAAAGCCGAGGUAGCGAACAGG
rnacentral:rRNA from 1 species